rnacentral:misc_RNA from 1 species
GAUGAAGAACGCAGCGAACUGCGAUAAGUAAUGUGAAUUGCAGAACUCAGUGAAUCAUCGAGUCUUUGAACGCACAUUGCGCCCCCUGGCAUUCCGGGGGGCAUGCCUGUCCGAGCGUCAUUGCUGCCCUUCAAGCCCGGCUUGUGUGUUGGGUCGUCGUCCCCCCCGGGGGACGGGCCCGAAAGGCAGCGGCGGCACCGCGUCCGGUCCUCGAGCGUAUGGGGCUUUGUCACCCGCUCGAUUAGGGCCGGCCGGGCGCCAGCCGGCGUCUCCAACCUUCUAUUUUACCAGGUUGACCUCGGAUCAGGUAGGGAUACCCGCUGAACUUAAGCAUAUCAAUAAGCGGAGGA